UACGUAGGGUGCAAGCGUUAAUCGGAAUUACUGGGCGUAAAGCGUGUGCAGGCGGUUGUGCAAGACAGAUGUGAAAUCCCCGGGCUUAACCUGGGAACUGCAUUUGUGACUGCACGGCUAGAGUGUGUCAGAGGGGGGUAGAAUUCCACGUGUAGCAGUGAAAUGCGUAGAGAUGUGGAGGAAUACCGAUGGCGAAGGCAGCCCCCUGGGAUAACACUGACGCUCAUGCACGAAAGCGUGGGGAGCAAACAGG
rnacentral:rRNA from 1 species